GAUGAACUCUGGCGGCGUGCCUAAUACAUGCAAGUCGAGCGAACAGAUAAGGAGCUUGCUCCUUUGACGUUAGCGGCGGACGGGUGAGUAACACGUGGGUAACCUACCUAUAAGACUGGGAUAACUUCGGGAAACCGGAGCUAAUACCGGAUAAUAUUUCGAACCGCAUGGUUCGAUAGUGAAAGAUGGUUUUGCUAUCACUUAUAGAUGGACCCGCGCCGUAUUAGCUAGUUGGUAAGGUAACGGCUUACCAAGGCGACGAUACGUAGCCGACCUGAGAGGGUGAUCGGCCACACUGGAACUGAGACACGGUCCAGACUCCUACGGGAGGCAGCAGUAGGGAAUCUUCCGCAAUGGGCGAAAGCCUGACGGAGCAACGCCGCGUGAGUGAUGAAGGUCUUCGGAUCGUAAAACUCUGUUAUUAGGGAAGAACAUACGUGUAAGUAACUGUGCACGUCUUGAAGGUACCUAAUCAGAAAGCCACGGCUAACUACGUG
rnacentral:rRNA from 1 species